rnacentral:tRNA from 1 species
AAGGGUAUUAGUUUAAUGGUAAAACCAGGUACUACGGAUACCUUAAUGAUAGUUCGAAUCUGUCAUAUCCUUA